UCAUUGGAAGGGGAAACUACAGAUAAUAGACAUAGGAACCUAACAGCUCCCAGAAGCCAGACUGAGAAAGAAAAGCAUAAAGGACACGCAACAGCAUGAUGCCUGAGGUAGAAGUAUGAUAGUUGAACUUUAUUGUGCUCUAGAAAAAGCAAUAAACCCUUCUGCAAACUUCAUAAGAUAGCACAGUAAAAGGAACUCUACACCAAGAGGACAUUUUCCCUUCAAAAUAACAAAGCAGAACACAAAGUAAAUCAAAGCAUAUAAACGGAGAAAGGAAUUCCGUUGCCUUUGAAAUUGAACUCCAGAAAUAAUUUACUUAAAAAGAGUUCCUCAGAUAUAGCUUGAAGUCUAAAGACAAUCAUUGAUCAUCAACUGGUAUUCUCUUACUCCAUCAGCACUCCAGAUACAAAGCAAGAGAAAACCCAGAGUAAAAAAUUUAAAUGGACAAUAUUUCAUCUGCAACCUGGAAAGUCUUCUAUGCUUGCUGUUGUAUUGACUUUCCUACUUAUCUCAGAAAAUUGUGCAUUUAAUCAUCUCUCUCUAUUUUCUUUGACUCUUUUCCAGUGAGAGAGUAUAAGAUUGUUUACCUAAAGACCUCGAAGUCUAGCAAGAUAGGAAGCAAGUUGUUACUUAAGCAGGUUGGGGGGGCAUUAUGGGCACAAUGAAAAUUAAUCAUUGGUUCUCUUUGCCUAUCAAAAUACAUCGUUCACAUAGGACCCCUUUCCCCAAUAAAUUUAGAUCAUGCCUACUCUAGAAAAGGAAUCACAGCAUUGUCACUUCUUGAUGUUGUGAAGUAAUUUGUAAUGCGCAGAAAUGAUUUGAAUACAUGUCCCAACAGAGCUUUGUGAAGGAAACUCAAAGCUAUUCUGACAUAAUAGCAAAUGAUAGCAGAGAAGGGACUGAAGCACUGCAGCAAACCCAAAAUUGUUCCAAUAUUCAGCUGCUAGAACAAAAAAGAAAAGCCUCACUACUGAACCUUUUUCAUUUCGUAUAGCUGCUCAAAAUUUAGAAAACUCAUAGACCAUAAUCCAUUAAAACAGCAUCUAUUACAUCAAGUUCUAAUUGCUAAACUUGCUGGUAAAUCCUUGGGGUAAAGAGAUUGGAACUCUUCCAUUUUCAAUAAAGAUUAUUUGUAAAACUAAAAAAAAAUCCAUGAGACAAUCUGAUAGAUGUCUCAUUAUUCCUGA
rnacentral:lncRNA from 1 species